AUGUCAGUAAGCGGAGGAAAAGAAACCAACCGGGAUUCCCUUAGUAACUGCGAGUGAAGCGGGAAAAGCUCAAAUUUGAAAUCUGGCAGGCUUAUUCCUGUCCGAAUUGUAGUUUCAAGGAACGUUUUCUGGGGGUAUGGGCGAUGUGUAAGUCCGUUGGAAAACGGCACCAUAGAGGGUGAUAGUCCCGUGUCUGCAUCGCACUUGCCUCCUACUU
rnacentral:rRNA from 1 species